GCCGCCGUGUGCCGCGUCAGGUUAGAUAUUAUACCGAAUAGGGUUAUCCCCAGCUGAAUACGGCAAGUCAGCAGCGCUCUUGAUGACGAUAGAGUGCAAGGUUUUUUCACACACGCGGUGGCAGCGCCUCUGCUAGCCAGCAUCCACUUAUCCAAGGUAGCACCGGUAUGUCUCGAUGGUGGAUUUUUUCCACAAAACGCGUGAAACCCAUCCCGGUCGAUGUCUUCAAUUUUACUGAAGUGUGAGAGGCGCGCGAAAUUCAUUCACCUUCCCGCAGGUAACGUAACCCACGAGAUUUCAUACAAUUCCCCCCAGGUAAACCCCAUAGUGAAUCGGUCCUGUUGACAAGGAAUGCCAGAUGACAGGU